GCGGGAGUAGCUCAGUUGGUAGAGCACAACCUUGCCAAGGUUGGGGUCGCGAGUUCGAAUCUCGUUUCCCGCUCCA
rnacentral:tRNA from 1 species